UCCAAUGUGGUGUAGUGGCUAACAUUGCUGUCUUUCAGUCUGAUACACAGCAGCCCGGGGUUCGAUUCCCCGCAUUGGAA